rnacentral:rRNA from 1 species
CAAAAACAUAGCCCCAGAAAAUAUCUGAGGUGUAACCUGCCCAGUGGUUUUUAAUAGUAUAUGGUAAUGACAUAUAAAUAAAACUAAAAGGACGCGGUAACCUUGACCGUGAUAAUGUAGCAUAAUCACUCGCCAUUUAAUUGAUGGAUAGUAUGAAUGGUUGAACGAAUAUUCCACUGUCUUAGAAGGAAUCAAAAAAAAUUGAAAUAAUAGUUAAGAUGCUAUUUUAGAUUGUAAGACGAAAAGACCCUAUAGAGCUUAACUAUAAGUUCUCUAGUUAUAAUGAAAAUAAAAUUUCUAAACUAGAGAACUAGGUAGUUUAGUUGGGGCGACUAUUUUCUAAAAAAAACGAAAACAAGCAAUGUCAAUAAAAAAUUUAUUGUAUAACCAAAUAGUUUAACAAUUACUAAAGUAGGCUAUAGUGACCCGUUAAAGUUUUAAAAUUAAAUUUAACGAUUAAUUGAUAAAAGCUACCUUAGGGAUAACAGGAUAAUUUUAUUUUAGAGCUCCUAUCGAAAAUAAAGUUUGUCACCUCUAUGUUGAAUUAAGAUAUCCUGAUAAUGCAGCAGUUAUCAAAGGUAGGUCUGUUCGACCUUUAAAAUCUUACAUGAUUUG